rnacentral:lncRNA from 13 species
AUGUCUGAUGAGGAGACAGAGCAGGACAAACCACUGGAGGGGGGUGGGGGUUCUCCCAGCAGAGGAACCACAGCCCAGGUCGGGAGGAUAGGCCUCUUCACCACUCUCACCAUAAUGGAGCUCUUUGUACAGCCAAGAAGAAUACACCCUUCAUCUGGGCUGGGGGCUAAGGCGCGCGCGCACAUACACACAAUUUGUGGCUGUCAAGACCAUUUCUUCCCUCCUCCUUGUAGAGGAUUGCCUCUCUCUGUGUGUGUGUGUGUCUGCCAACAUUUAGCAAAGUGUAAAACUAGAUGGAUCAGUUCAGCAGAGGCACCACCAGGUAUUAUCUGUAUCGGUCCUUCUACACCUAACCACCAUUCUCCAACCCCCCACCCCCUAACCCCCAUCCUCCAACCCCUCCCCCCUAACCCCCUCCCAACCCCCAUCCUCCCCCCCAUUCCCCCAUCCUCCAACCCCUUCUUUGGCUUCUUGAUGUUAGAUGACCUAACAAGUGAGGAUGCAGGCCAAAGUACAAGGCCAGACAACAUCGGCCAACUAUUUGCCGUCACCAGCUCGCACUCACCCACUGAGCCGCCCAGUGCCUAAGCCCCUCCUACCCACAUGGGCACCGGCCCCCUUGCUCUCUGCCCAAUCAGGUACUCCGCGGCCAGCUGUUUGCCUGAACCGCACGUGUGAAUGACAGCGAGCGGGGGUAGGAGGGGGCUCUCACAAUUUCUAGCGGGGUGGGGGGGUCCAUGGCGCCCCCGNNNNNNNNNNCCCCCCCCCCCAACACACUAUGGGAGGGGGAGAAUGGAGCAGUAAGGAACAGUUACAAAGACAGCAAGCUUGUUUCUGCUUUCCAUGUUUAAUAGUGAUGCUAGACAUGUUAGCAUCUAGGAGGCUCCUGUUCUGAUACCUGCCUCUCAAGGCUCUGAGCAAAGUGCCUCCUCGUCGAGCACAAGGCCUGAUAAAGAAAAAGUGAAUGUUUACUGGGAUAGAAGUGCUGGCUUUGGGAGUGCCCGAAGGAUAAGCUGAUAGUUUUGGAUUAUUCUCUUUGUUAACUACUUCUUUCUGAACCAGUUUAUUUCCCCUCGCCUUCUGACAACAAUUCCCCUAAUUUUAAUUGUUUCAUUUUACCUUUAUUUAACUAGGCAAGUCAGUUAAGAACAAAUUCUUAUUUUCAAUGACAGCCUAGGAACAGUGGGUUAACUGCCUGUUCAGGGACAGAACAACAGAUUUGUACCUUGUCAGCUCGGGGAUUUGAACUUGCAACCUUCGGGUUACUAGUCCAACGCUCUAACCACUAGGCUACCCUACCGCCCCUAAUGAUGCACACAAGUGCUAAUCAUAAUUAUGAAAAGCUGAAAAACAUCCACUAGCCACCAUUUCCUGUUCAGGGGAAGUCCAAAAGAUUUUGCAGUCUUGUGGGAUGGCCCAUUUCCUCAGAAAAGAAUGACAUGAGGAAGAAGUCUUAUUUUCCCUCUCAGAGUUCUAUUUAUCCCUGACAUUGUCCCUGACAUUGUCCCUCCAUCUCAAAAUGUCUCUGGUGGCAUACUAUUCUGACUAGUCAGGCCUAGGCUAACGGCAUCACAACCAGCACACACUUACAAACUCACAAAAAAAAUGAAACAUCCUCUCACUGUCAACUGCGUUUAUUUUCAGCAAACUUAACAAGUGUAAAUAUUUGUAUGAACAUAAGAUUCAACAACUGAGACAAACUGAACAAGUUCCACAGACAUGCGACUAACAGAAAUGGAAUAAUGUGUCCCUGAACAAAGGGGGGCGGGGGGGGUCAAAAUCAAAAGUAACAGUCAAUGUACAGAUACUAAGCACUGCAGUGCAUCUCCUCAUGGACAGUACCAGAUUUGCCAGUUAUUGCUGUGAGAUGUUACCCCACUCUUCCACCAAGGCACCUGCAAAUUCCAGACAUUUCGGGGGGGGGAUAGCCCAAGCCCUCACCCUCCGAUCCAACAGGUCCCAGACGUGCUCAAUGGGAUUGAGAUCCGGGCUCUUCGCAGGCCAUGGCAAAACACUGACAUCCCUGUCUUGCGGGAAAUCACGCACAGAACGAACAGUAUGGCUGGUGGCAUUGUCAUGCUGGAGGGUCAUGUCAGGAUGAGCCUGCAGGAAGGGAACCACAUGAGGGAGGAGGAUGUCUUCCCUGUAACGCACAGCAUUGAGAAUGCCUGCAAUGACGAGCUCAGUCCGAUGUUGCUGUGACACACCGCCCCAGACCAUGACGGGCCCUCCACCUCGAUUCAGAGUACAGGCCUCGGUGUAACGCUCAAUCCUUCGACGAUAAACGCAAAUCGACCAUCACCCCUGGUAAGACAAAGCAGCGACUCGUCAACGAAGAGCACUUUUUGCCAGUCCUGUCUGGUCCAGCGAUGGUGGGUUUGUGCCCAUAGGCGACGUUGUUGCCUGGUGUGGACCUGCCUUACAACAGGCCUACAAACCAUCAGUCCAGCCUCUCUUGGCCUAUUGAGGACAGUCUGAGCACAAAUGGAGGGAUUGUGCGUUCCUGGUGUAACUUGUGCAGGUGCUGUUGCCAUCCUGUAUCUGUCCCGCAGGUGUGAUGUUCGGAUGUACCAAUCAUAUGCAGGUGUUGUUACACGUGGUCUGCCACUGCGAUCAGCUGUCCGUCCUUUCUCCCUGUAGCGCUGUCUUAGGCGUCUCACAAUAUGGACAUUGCAAUUUAUUGCCCUGGCCACAUCUGCAGUCCUCAUGCCUCCUUGCCGCACGCAGAUGAGCAGGGAUCCUGGGCAUUUUUCUUUAGGUGUUUUUCAGAGUCAGUAGAAAGGCCUCUUUAGUGUCCUAAGUUUUCAUAACUGUGACCUUAAUGGUCUACCGUCUGUAAGCUGUUAGUGUCUUCACGACUGUUCCACAGGUGCAUGUUCAUUAAUUGUUUAUUGUUCAUUGAACAAGCAAGGGAAACAGUCUUUAAACCCUUUACAAUGAAAAUCUGAAGUUAUUUGGAUUUUUACUAAUUAUCUUUGAAUGACAGGGUCCUGAAAAGGGGACGUUUCUUUUUUUGCUGAGUUUAGAAUAUGAUGUCAAGAAUAUUCACAAAAACGUUGCACUGACAGAAUUAAGUAGUCUUAAUCUUGACAAAUGACACACUAAUGCUAAGUCCCAGCAACAAAAUACAUCAAUGACCGAACAAACCAAAUGGCGGUACAGACACAAUUCCUUAGAGCCUUUAAUUGUCAACAUGCGAGUCUCUCUUUACUCAGACAAUCUCCAUUAGGAUCAUUAGAGGGAUCAAUGAGCAUAACACUCCCGUCGCCGGGGCCAUAACACUCCCGUCGCCGGGGCCAUAACACUCCCGUCGCCGGGGCCAUAACACUCCCGUCGCCGGGGCCAUAACACUCCCGUCGCCGGGGCCAUAACACUCCCGUCGCCGGGGCUAUAACACUCCCGUCGCCGGGGACAUAACACUCCCGUCUCCGGGGCCAUAACACUCCCGUCUCCGGGGCCAUAACACUCCCGUCUCCGGGGCCAUAACACUCCCGUCUCCGGGGCCAUAACACUCCCGUCUCCGGGGCCAUAACACUCCCGUCUCCGGGGCCUUGCCACACUGUUACAGUCUUCAACACUGAGGGGGCUGACUGAGUCAUUGCAUCACAAGCUUGGUGACCUUGCU